rnacentral:rRNA from 1 species
CCUACGGGUGGCAGCAGUGAGGAAUAUUGGUCAAUGGGCGGGAGCCUGAACCAGCCAAGUCGCGUGAGGGAAGACGGUCCUAUGGAUUGUAAACCUCUUUAGGCGGGGAGCAAUGGCGGGGACGUGUCCCGGCCCGGAGAGUACCCGGAGAAAAAGCAUCGGCUAACUCCGUGCCAGCAGCCGCGGUAAUACGGAGGAUGCGAGCGUUAUCCGGAUUUAUGGGGUUUAAAGGGUGCGUAGGCGGGCUGUUAAGUCAGCGGUAAAAAUUCGGGGCUCAACCCCGUCCGGCCGUUGAAACUGGGGGCCUUGAGUGGGCGAGAAGAAGGCGGAAUGCGUGGUGUAGCGGUGAAAUGCAUAGAUAUCACGCAGAACCCCGAUUGCGAAGGCAGCCUUCCGGCGCCCUACUGACGCUGAGGCACGAAAGUGCGGGGAUCGAACAGGAUUAGAUACCCCGGUAGUC